rnacentral:rRNA from 1 species
UCCUGGCUCAGAUUGAACGGCGGCGGCAGGCUUAACACNUGCAAGUCGAGCGGGGUGAUGGUGCUUGCACUAUCACCUAGCGGCGGACGGGUGAGUAAUGCUUAGGAAUCUGCCUAUUAGUGGGGGACAACAUUUCGAAAGGAAUGNUAAUACCGCAUACGUCUUACAGGAGAAAGCAGGGGAUCUUCGGACCNUGCGNUAAUAGAUGAGCCUAAGUUGGAUUAGCUAGUUGGUGGGGUAAAGGCCUACCAAGGGGGCGAUCUGUAGCGUGUNUGAGAGGAUGAUCCGCCACACUGGGAAUUAGACCCGGCCCAGAAUCCUACGGGAGGCAGCAAUGGGGAAUAUUGGNCAAUGGGNGCAAGCCUGAUCCAGCCAUGCCGCGUGUGUGAAGAAGGCCUUAUGGUUGUAAAGCACUUUAAGCGAGGAGGAGGCUACUUUAGAUAAUACCUAGAGAUAGUGGACGUUACUCGCAGAAUAAGCACCGGCUAACUCUGUGCCAGCAGCCGCGGUAAUACAGAGGGUGCAAGCGUUAAUCGGAUUUACUGGGCGUAAAGCGCGNNUAGGCGGCUAAUUAAGUCAAAUGUGAAAUCCCCGAGCUUAACUUGGGAAUUGCAUUCGAUACNGNCAAGCUAGAGUGUGGGAGAGGNAUGGUAGAAUUCCAGGUGUAGCGGUGAAAUGCGUAGAGAUCUGGAGGAAUACCGAUGGCGA